GACGAACGCUGGCGGCGUGCUUAACACAUGCAAGUCGAACGGGCAUAAGGCUUCGGUUUUAUGUUAGUGGCAGACGGGUGAGUAACGCGUGGGAACGUACCCUUUGGUUCGGAAUAACGAUUGGAAACGAUCGCUAAUACCGGAUAAGCUCGAGAGAGGAAAGAUUUAUUGCCAAGGGAGCGGCCCGCGUUAGAUUAGGUAGUUGGUGGGGUAAAGGCCUACCAAGCCUGCGAUCUAUAGCUGGUCUGAGAGGAUGAUCAGCCACACUGGGACUGAGACACGGCCCAGACUCCUACGGGAGGCAGCAGUGGGGAAUAUUGGACAAUGGGGGAAACCCUGAUCCAGCAAUGCCGCGUGAGUGAUGAAGGCCUUCGGGUUGUAAAGCUCUUUUACCUGUGAAGAUAAUGACGGUAACAGGGGAAUAAGCUCCGGCUAACUUCGUGCCAGCCGCCGCCGUAA
rnacentral:rRNA from 1 species